rnacentral:rRNA from 1 species
CAGAGUGGACUAAGCCAUGCGAGUCAGCAUAGCAAUAUGUGGCAUACGGCUCAGUAACACGUAGUCAACAUGCCCAGGGGACGUGGAUAACCUCGGGAAACUGAGGAUAAACCGCGAUAGGUCACUGCUUCUGGAAUGGGCAAUGACUUAAACCUAUAUGGCCCCUGGAUUGGACUGCGGCCGAUCAGGCUGUUGGUGAGGUAAUGGCCCACCAAACCUGUAACCGGUACGGGCUCUGAGAGGAGGAGCCCGGAGAUGGGCACUGAGACAAGGGCCCAGGCCCUAUGGGGCGCAGCAGGCGCGAAACCUCUGCAAUAGGAGAAAGCCUGACAGGGUUACUCUGAGUGACCUCCGUUAAGGAGGUCUUUUGGCAUCUCUAAAAAGGGUGCAGAAUAAGGGGUGGGCAAGUCUGGUGUCAGCCGCCGCGGUAAUACCAGCACCCCGAGUGGUCGGGACGUUUAUUGGGCCUAAAGCAUCCGUAGCCGGUUCUGCAAGUCUUCCGUUAAAUCCACCUGCUUAACAGAUGGGCUGCGGAAGAUACUACAGAGCUAGGAGGCGGGAGAGGCAAGCGGUACUCGAUGGGUAGGGGUAAAAUCCGUUGAUCCAUUGAAGACCACCAGUGGCGAAGGCGGCUUGCCAGAACGCGCUCGACGGUGAGGGAUGAAAGCUGGGGGAGCAAACCGGAUUAGAUACCCGGGUAGUCCCAGCUGUAAACGAUGCAGACUCGGUGAUGAGUUGGCUUCUUGCUAACUCAGUGCCGCAGGGAAGCCGUUAAGUUUGCCGCCUGGGGAGUACGGUCGCAAGACUGAAACUUAAAGGAAUUGGCGGGGGAGCACCACAAGGGGUGAAGCCUGCGGUUCAAUUGGAGUCAACGCCGGG